GACGAACGCUGGCGGCGUGCUUAACACAUGCAAGUCGAGCGGUAAGGCCCUUUCGGGGGUACGACGAGCGGCGAACGGGUGAGUAACACGUGGGUGACCUGCCCUCAGCUCUGGGAUAAGCCCGGGAAACUGGGUCUAAUACCGGAUAUGACUCCAUGACGCAUGUUGUGGGGUGGAAANCCUUGUGCGGCUGAGGAUGGGCCCGCGGCCU
rnacentral:rRNA from 1 species